rnacentral:rRNA from 1 species
UGCGUAGGCGGUCCCGCAAGUCCGCUGUGAAAUCCCCGGGCUUAACCUGGGAAUGGCAGUGGAAACUAGGGGACUUGAAUCUGGCAGAGGGGGGUGGAAUGCCACGUGUAGCAGUGAAAUGCGUAGAGAUGUGGCGGAACACCGAUGGCGAAGGCAGCCCCCUGGGCUGAGAUUGACGCUCAGGCACGAAAGCGUGGGAGCAAACAGGAUUAGAUACCCUGGUAGUCCACGCCCUAAACGAUGAUCACUAGGUGUUGGGGAAGCGAUUUCUCAGUACCGCAGCUAACGCGUGAAGUGAUCCGCCUGGGGAGUACGGUCGCAAGAUUAAA